rnacentral:rRNA from 1 species
UACAGAGGUGGCAAGCGUUGUUCGGAAUUACUGGGCGUAAAGGGCGCGUAGGCGGUCUUGUAAGUUCUGUGUGAAAUCCCUCGGCUCAACUGAGGAACUGCACGGAAAACUGCGAGGCUUGAGUUCGGGAGAGGGAAGCGGAAUUCCGGGUGUAGCGGUGAAAUGCGUAGAUAUCAGGAAGAACACCCGUGGCUAAGGCGGUUCUCUAGUACGGUACUGACGCUGAGACGCGAAAGCGUGGGGAGCGAACAGG